rnacentral:rRNA from 1 species
AAGAGCAUUCGCUUCCCAGCCCCACGAAAAAUCGCCCAAAAUCCCACCUGCCAUAAGCCCCCAAUAAUUGACCCCUGCUAGCGCCGGCGUCGGCGGCCGGAGAAGAUGGAAUCGGCGAUUGGCGCGGCAACCGGGCUCGUCGGCAGCGUGCUGAAUCUGCUCUCCAACGAGCUCGUGGGGGCGUACGUCGCCAGCACCGACCUCGGCCUCAAGUCCGUCGAGAUCAAGAAAGAUCUCCUGCACGCGCAAGCGCUGCUACAAGAGGCCCAGACGAGGGGUGCCAAGGACAACCUCGGGCUGAAGGGGCUGCUGCAGGAGCUCACCGUCAAGGCCGACGAGGCCGAGGAUGCGCUGGAUGAGCUCCACUACUUCAUCAUUCAGGACCAGCUCGACGGCACUCGCUUCGCGGUGCCGGACCUGGGCGAUGACCUUCGCGGUCAUGCUCGCCACGGUCGCCAUGCUAUUCGCCAUGUCGUCGGUAACUGCCUUGCAUGCUUUUCUUGUUCGUCGACUAUGAAAGAUGAUAAUAGUGGUGCUGCUGCUGCUGUUCCUAUUAACCCACUCAAUCCAACCAAGACUGAUAGUGCUGGUCAAGAUGGUCCAGUUGAUAAGCUGAAAUUCGAUAGAGUGGCCAUGUCCAAGAAAAUUAAGUCAGUGAUGGAGGAACUACACUCCCUAUGUGAGCCUGUAUCCAAAUUCCUCUGCAUAACUCCACACCAUGGUAGCACUGAAACUGCUGUCAACCUAAUUCGUCCUCCAACGGGAUCAAUCAGUGCGCAGCAUACAUUGUAUGGAAGGGCAGACGUUUUCGAGGGAACCAAAGAUGAUAUAACCAGUGGCAGAUUCUAUACCGAAACCCUUUCAGUUCUUGCUGUAGUUGGUCCAGGUGGUAUUGGAAAGACAACUUUCGCCCAACACCUGUAUAAUGAUAAAACGAUACAAGAGCACUUUGCUGUUAGGGUCUGGGUAUGUGUGUCGACUGAUUUUGAUGUGCUUAAGCUCAGCCAACAGAUCCUUAGUUGCAUACAAGAAAGCAACUCUCCAAAUCAAACAACAAAUUUAGACCAGCUCCAAAUAUCCAUCACACAGGAACUCAAGUCUAAAAGGGUUUUAGUUGUGUUUGAUGAUAUAUGGAAGUGCAAUAAUCAGGGUUGGGAAGACCUGCUAGCUCCUUUCAGGAAAGGGGAAACCAAGGGUAACAUGGUUCUCGUCACAACUCGAUUUCCAUCCAUAGCUGAAAUGGUGAAAACAACACCUUCAAUACAACUAAAAGGCCUCGAGUCUGAUGAAUUCUUCCCAUUCUUUGAAGCAUUCAUAUUUGAUGAAAAAAACCCUGAGUACCAAGGUGACCUAGCUAGUAUUGCACGGGCUAUUGCUAAGAAAUUGAUGGGUUCACCUCUAGCAGGCAAAACCGUUGGUCGAUUAUUGAGGAAGGAGAUUUCUCGGAAGCACUGGAUGGAAGUUCUCGAAAACAACAAAUGGCAAAAACAAGAAAAUGAUGAUGGCAUUAUGACAUCUCUCAGGAUUAGCUAUGAUUACCUUCCUUCCCAUCUGAAAAAAUGUUUCCCAUAUUUUGCCUUAUUCCCUGAAGAUUACAAGUUUAAGAAUUUAGAGAUUACAUAUUUCUGGAUUGCAAUAGGAAUCACAGAAAAAGAUGAGGAUUACAUGGAACAACUAGUGGAAAAUGGUUUUGUUGUGAAGGAGAAUGUUCAUUGGUCAAGUCAACAGUACUAUGUACUGCAUGAUUUACUACAUGAACUGUCCCGAAGUGUUUCCUCACAAGAAUGCCUCAAUAUAUAUGAUAGUAAAAGGUUUAAAGCCGAUGCCGUUCCAAAAUCUAUUCGUCAUUUGUCCAUUACCAUUGAAGACAACUAUGAUGUGACUUUUAUUGAAGAAAUGAUUAAGUUGAAGAGCAAGGUAGACAUUGCAAAUUUGCGGGCUUUGAUGAUUUUUAGAAGAUACGGAGAAACAGUUCGUGAGAUUUUAAAAGAUACUUUCAAGGAUGUAGAGGGCCUUCGUGUCCUAUUUAUAGUUGUGAAGUCCCCAAAUUUGUUCCCAUGUGAUUUCUCAAAACUUAUCCACCUCCGAUACCUAAAAGUUGGAACAUGGGACGAAGUGACUUUGCCUAGCACACUGUCCAGACUUUGUCACCUAAAACUAUUGGACCUGAGUGGUUGGCAUGGUAGUUAUGAAUUGCCUAGAGACACUAGCCGCCUUAUCAGUUUAUGCCAUAUUAUUGCUGGAAAAAAAUUCCAUUGCAAUAUUGCUGAGGUUGGAAAGAUGAAGUGUUUAAAGGAGCUUAAAGAAUUCCAUGUCAUGAAAGAGAGUGUUGGAUAUGAACUGUGUGAGUUGGGGCAGUUAACAGAUCUUGGAGGAGAACUCUGUAUACGUAAUCUUGAAAAGGUGACAACCAAGGAUGAGGCUAUGGAAGCCAAACUUGAGUCAAAAGGUGAUUUGAAAGGGUUGGGGUUGGUUUGGGGAUCAUCUGAUGCCGUUGAUGGUACAACAAAAUUAGUUGAUGUUCUUGAUGCUCUUCAGCCACACCCUAACCUUGCAGCACUUGGCAUCAUAGGUCAUGGUGGUACAAGUGGUCCUAGUUGGUUGUGUGGUGACAUUAAGUUUGAGUUGUUGGAGUAUCUUCACCUAGAGGGAGUAUCUUGGGUCACUCUUCCUCCUUUUGAGUACUUGCCGCAGCUCACAUCACUCACAUUGAGCAACAUUUAUGAAGUUAGUGAGAUCCGCCAUGUCUUUGGUGGCGCUACAAACAAAAGUUUUUUGCAGUUGAAGCUGAUUGUCCUUGAUUCAUUGCCUGAACUUAUUGAGUGGGUUGGGGUGCCUAAUGAUUCGUUUGCAAGGCUUGAAACUAUUUAUUGCAGGUCAUGCCCCAAUCUCCGUACACUACCCUUCCUGCGCGAGUACUCUGCUGGCUGUUAUAACCAUCUGUCAAAACUUGAAAUUUUUGAUUGCCCAAAGUUGUCUCUCCCUCCCAUGCCUCACAGCUCCACAAUGAUAGUUUGUGAUGUGAGACAUAGUUCCGCAGAGCUGACUUAUGCAGGGAACAACAUGUAUAUUAAUGGGUAUAAUGGUGAGGUGGACUUGCAUAACCUGCGAAAAUUAGAGAAAAUGAGUAUUACAGAUGCAUCACACAUUUCAAUGACAGAGCUGACCAAUCUGAAAUCCCUAAGAAGACUAGAUGUCAGAAGAUGCAGCUUCACGUGCCAUGGACUCCAGGACCUCUCGUGCCUCCAAUCACUUACAGUAUACAACUGUGGCAACUUCUUUCCAUGGCAUACCGAAGCAGCUCACACCAUCAAGCUUUUCCCUGCUUCCCUCGAGACACUUGAGAUUGAAGGAGAGUCAGGCAUGCAGGCAAUGGCUCCGCUCAGCAAUCUGAAAUCCCUAAGAAGACUAGAUGUCAGAAGAUGCAGCAUCAGGUGCCAUGGACUGCAGGACCUCGCGUGCCUCCAAUCACUUACAGUAAAAGACUGUGGCAACUUCUUUCUGCGGCCCAUCGAAGCAGCUCAAACCAUCAUCAAUCCUUUGCCUGCUUUCAUCGAGGAACUUGAGAUUGAAGGAGAGUCAGGCAUGCAGUCAAUGGCUCCGCUCUCGAACCUCACUUGUCUCACCGAUCUUAUACUGGUGAACUCUGAGAAUUUAACAGUGGAUUGUUUUAAUCCUCUUAUCACAGUCAACCUCAACAGUUUGAAGAUCUACAACAGAGGAAAUUGUCUUAGCCGUUCUGUAUCAGCGGAUUUGUUCUCAGAAUUGGUGGUAGCAAGGACUAACCUAAUAUUGCCUGCAGCCUCCUUCCAGCUGCGAGAACUUACAGUGGAUUGCAUCUCAGCAGUGCUUGUUGCUCCCAUCUGUAGCCACCUCGCCGCUACCAUCAAGACUUUAGAAUUCUGGUAUGAUCAGCGGGCAGAAAGCUUCACAGAAGAGGAAGACAGGGCUCUUCAGCUCCUCACAUCCCUCCGUUUCAUCAGUUUUAUGGAUUGCCCGAAUCUGCUGUGCCUUCCUCAAGGCCUACACAGCCUUCCUUCUCUUAAGACACUAUUUGUCCAAGAUUGUCCUAAAAUCCGAUCUCUGCACAAGGGGGACUUUCCCACUUCACUUGAGUGUCUAUUAGUGCAGGGUUGCAGUCCCGGGCUACAAGAGCAAGCCAAGAAAUUAAAAGGAACAAAACCAGCUUUUAAUGUGAUACUUGAACUUGAGUAGCACAAGAACGAUUACGGCCGACAGGGGAUUUGGUAUUCAGGACUUCAUUGGUUGCUCCAUCCAAACAAUAACAAUAUCAGUAACAAAAGUAUCAUCAAGAAGUAGCUGUGCAGCUAUACCAAGGCCAUUUCAAAGUUUGCUCGCUGCUAGCUACUCUCCACACAUUUGAGUCUUGGAAUGACGAUUGGGGUCUGCCAUCCCGGCCUCAAGGGUUACACAACCUUUCCUCACUCAUGGGAGUAGUAGUCAUGGUUUGUCCUGGUCGUUGCGUAAGGGGUGACCUCCCUAUUUCACUGCGACAGCUAGAUAUAUUACGCUUCAGUGCAGAGCUACAAGAGGGAAUCAAGAAAUUAGAAGGAACAAACCCAACUUUAGCCCAGCCCAAGGUUUGAUGGCAGAAUUACACAUUUCCAAAGUGCAAUGUGCACGUAGAUAAACUGUGAAUCCUGGGUGCAAGUCAUGUGGCAUGUGCAAGUUGUCGGCCUAUCUGUCGUUUUGGCAGCUCUCAUAUAAGUCGUGUGUCCCAUAUUACAUCGUACCUACUGGUAUCAGAAAUGGACUACUGAAGUUUGCAUGUAUAGCAGCUGCUUGCAUUGCAUGGUAAACUAUGAAGACACAGGGGCAGCCGAUUGAUUAAACUGGAGGUCCCAGAUCAUAUAUAUAGAAGUCUUUCCACUGGUUCCUUUAAGCAUCGGCCAGAUUCAGUAUCAGAACAGUUUGAUUGCUUGCUCAGGCAGUACAUGACACCAUGGACCGCCAACUGCAUCUUGUGCACAUUGUAUCAUUUAUUAAAAAGGAAAAACAUAUCGUGCAGAUUGUGGAGACUGGAUAUCGAUGGUGAUGUUUCACUGGCAUCCGUCAGAGUUUCAGCUCUAGUUUAGCAGGAUUAUUCACAGCGAACAGUGAAUCCAGAAGUUGGUUGUUCCAUCCUGAGUUCCAGACAACGAAACUGAUGUGAGCCUCUCUCUUGAUAUCUCGAUGGAGUUAUUUCUGCAUAAUCGACCCUAUCAAAGGUGUCUCUCACCCUCCCUCCGUCUUGAGUCUUGAGUCUUGACCAACCUGAACCCUGACGAGGAGGAAGCUACCUACCUCCUCCCGGCCUCUCCACCGCCAGUUUUUCUCCGGCCACCUCCCCGACUACAUCCUCCACUCCUCCCCUGCAUCUGCUCUGGCCACAUUUGGCACUGACGCCACACGUCCCAGGAUGCUCAUUACCCGUUGUCGGGCAAGGCCUGAGCAAUUGUCUGCUGAACUAGGGCCAGCAUCUAUGACUCUGAGUUACUCAGUGUCUUGUUGGAUCUAUCACAUUGGUCCUCCGUCCUCUGACCAUCACGGCAAAUCGAUCGACAGGAACAGCAUCUGCAAAACUGGCACGUGAGAGAUACAGUACGAAGAUGUUUCUCGAUGAUGAUGAGCAGCACAUUAAUUCUUCCCUUAUUGUAAACCUUACUUCAAUUUAAAGCUGGACUUUAACCUUUUCUCGUAGAGCUAAGGAUGGACUUUAUCCAGUCCAGUGUAGUUCAGCUCCGGGAGGCAAGCGAAGCAACAACCUGAGUAAGAGUUGUCGCGUUGUUGCUGCUUCAGUCCGGACAAAUUAGCACUAGCUUGUUAACCCUGACGAAACUGGAGCACUGCUUCUUGUUCAGAAUUCAGAUAUGCAGUGAUUAGUUUGAAGCAGCACACUUUUAGUACUAAUAUUAAUUGUCCAUUUGUAGAUUGUGCGUGCCUUUCCC